rnacentral:rRNA from 1 species
GAUGAACGCUGGCGGCGUGCCUAAUACAUGCAAGUCGAGCGAACAGACGAGGAGCUUGCUCCUCUGACGUUAGCGGCGGACGGGUGAGUAACACGUGUAUAACCUACCUAUAAGACUGGGAUAACUUCGGGAAACCGGAGCUAAUACCGGAUAAUAUAUUGAACCGCAUGGUUCAAUAGUGAAAGACGGUUUUGCUGUCACUUAUAGAUGUAUCCGCGCCGCAUUAGCUAGUUGGUAAGGUAACGGCUUACCAAGGCAACGAUGCGUAGCCGACCUGAGAGGGUGAUCGGCCACACUGGAACUGAGACACGGUCCAGACUCCUACGGGAGGCAGCAGUAGGAAAUCUUCCGCAAUGGGCGAAAGCCUGACGGAGCAACGCCGCGUGAGUGAUGAAGGUCUUCGGAUCGUAAAACUCUGUUAUUAGGGAAGAACAAAUGUGUAAGUAACUAUGCACGUCUUGACGGUACCUAAUCAGAAAGCCACGGCUAACUACGUG